CAGCAGCCGCGGGAAUACAGAGGGUGCGAGCGUUAAUCGGAUUUACUGGGCGUAAAGCGUGCGUAGGCGGCUAAUUGAGUCGGAUGUGAAAUCCCCGAGCUUAACUUGGGAAUUGCAUUCGAUACUGGUUAGCUAGAGUGUGGGAGAGGAUGGUAGAAUUCCAGGUGUAGCGGUGAAAUGCGUAGAGAUCUGGAGGAAUACCGAUGGCGAAGGCAGCCAUCUGGCCUAACACUGACGCUGAGGUACGAAAGCAUGGGGAGCAAACAGGAUUAGAGACCCCCGUAGUCCCUGUCUCUUAUAC
rnacentral:rRNA from 1 species